UACAGAGGGGGCAAGCGUUGUUCGGAAUUACUGGGCGUAAAGGGCGCGUAGGCGGCAUGACAAGUCACUUGUGAAAUCUCCGGGCUUAACUCGGAACGGCCAAGUGAUACUGUCAAGCUAGAGUGCAGAAAAGGGCAAUCGGAAUUCUUGGUGUAGCGGUGAAAUGCGGUAGAUAUCAAAGAGGGAACACCUGAGGCGAAGGCGGGUUGCUAGGCUGACACUGACGGCUGAAGCGACGGAAAGCCAGGGGAGCAAACGGG
rnacentral:rRNA from 1 species